rnacentral:lncRNA from 1 species
AAAGGACAGGACAAAGACAACCAUGGAAGAUGGCCCUGUAGCAGGCAGUAACGGGAGAGAUUUUGGUGACUGCCAGCCGAGGAACACCCAGGACAGGGACCACCGCUAGGGACAGGAGAGGUGCCGACAGAGCAGACUGCUUCAGAGCCUCUCUGGGACAUGCCACCAGCAUCUCCAUGGGCGUUUACUUUCAGCCUCAACUCUGAAGAACAUAUUCCUCUUGUUUUAAGACCUCCUCUUUGUGGCAUAAAGAAAAAGCAUACAUUUUCAUAUUAAAUUAUACUCCAUAAUAUUGGUAUAUGUACAAAUACUGAAUCCUGCAGUGUAGAAAUGAAACUCUUGCACCUAUCCCUAAAAAGUUACUUAAUUUCACUAAGUGUGCCUCUUUUUUUCUGUUACAUAAGAGGCUGAGAACUGAACCCAGGGCCUCCCACCUACUAGGCAAGCACUCUGCCACUGAGGUACACGGAGCACAAUUCCUGGUUUCCUCCAUAUGUAAGGAUUUUCAUUUAUGUUGCUGAGUUCAAAGAGAAACUUUUACUUCAAAUUGUUCUUGUCCUUGGUGAAAAAUAAGAUAUCCGUACCGGAAAAAUCAGAGGAGAGACAGAGCAUAAGGCAAGAGUUGCCCAGAGUGCUCACACCGAUGGAGACGCCUUGGUCCUUAAUGACCUUCAUAUUCAGAGAUGAGUGCUAACCUUUGCUUUCUGUGUGCAUUUACAGACUACUUUAGUAAGAGUGGAGUGAGGGAUAGUUGCAUGUGGUAACUCAUGCCUAUAAUAUUUAUGUCUGCAUAAAUAGGAAAUAGCUCUUUUGGAAGUGUUCAGUAUUAAAGCCCGUUAAAGAAGAGAAGGCAGGGAAACGGUUAUAUUCUAUUUUGCAGACUGCUUUUUUUCUGACCUUUAAAGUCAGUGUCUCCUGUAGCCCAGGCUGGCCUGGAGCUUACUCUGCAGGCAGAUAUAAACUUAAAUCUCAGAACUUCCCACCUCUACCUGCCAAGUGCUGGGAUUACAGGCGUGUGCUACCACAACUGGUAUAGUUAUGCUGUGAACUGAACACAGGGUUAUUCCUGCAUGCCAAGUGAACACUCUACUCUAACCACAUCUCCCAGCAACCUACUUAUUGCAUUUACUGUAUCAUGAUUAUAUCUCCAUGCCAUUGAAGAAGCUUACACAUUGUAAGGGCUUCUACUGUCCCACCAUACUGUUUAAGUAAUGCCUACUUAUUGAACAUUUAGUGUGGUUUUAGUACUGGGCUAGUUAAACAUAGUAUGUUAAUAGAUCAGUGUUUAAAGCUU